rnacentral:rRNA from 1 species
CCUACGGGAGGCAGCAGUGAGGAAUAUUGGUAAAUGGCCGUAAGGCUGAACCAGCCAAGUCGCGUGAAGGAAGAAGGAUCUAUGGUUUGUAAACUUCUUUUAUAGGGGAAUAAAGGUAUCCACGUGUGGAUUUUUGCAUGUACCCUAUGAAUAAGCAUCGGCUAACUCCGUGCCAGCAGCCGCGGUAAUACGGAGGAUGCGAGCGUUAUCCGGAUUUAUUGGGUUUAAAGGGUGCGUAGGUUGUUUUUUAAGUCAGCGGUGAAAGUUUGUGGCUCAACCUUAAAAUUGCCGUUGAAACUGGAAGACUUGAGUGUGUUUGAGGUAGGCGGAAUGCGUGGUGUAGCGGUGAAAUGCAUAGAUAUCACGAAGAACUCCGAUUGCGAAGGCAGCUUACUAAGCCGUAACUGACACUGAAGCACGAAAGCGUGGGGAUCAAACAGGAUUAGAUACCCUUGUAGUC